AAGCUUGUCCAUCCUUCAUGCUCACCUGCACUGUCGUGCUCAUCCCUACACUGUUGCUGUUGGGACUCGAUAUGUGAAUAAUAUGGUUGGGAUAGGGUGGCCUCAGAAUCAUCAUCUCUCUCAUUUUCUCUUAGACCCCCUUCCCACUCUCCCUCAUUAGGUGCAAUAUCACCGACAUAUUGUGGAUACAUUGGCUGGCUGCUUCCUCUUUCAUGCUGCUCAUCACUUUCUUCAAUAUCUUCAUCACCGAUAGCCUCAAGGAACGCUCUCUUGUGCAACACUGGCUCCUCCUCUUCUACUACCCAU
rnacentral:lncRNA from 1 species